CCCGGAGGUCCAAGUUGCCCGGCGCGGGGUGGAGGCGGGGGCAAGCCGGGAAACAGGAGAAGCAGCCCCUCAUCCAUGAUGCUGAGAGGAAGCCUGCACCCAGCUGCUUGGGAAGCCUCCAGAGCUGCCCAAGAAGAAAUGGUGACCACCAGUUCACAGCAGGUCAGGGGAAGACAUUCUGGGUUGUGGAAAGUGCCCACAUGUGACUGCAAAAGGCAUGGUUUUCAGCCAUGAGGGACGUAGCCCAAGAGAAUCUGCAGAUUGCUCAACAGACAGACAGACAGAUGGGAGCCUGGGCAGACUGUCUGUGGCUGUUGCUUACACUGAAUGAUGGUGACCACUGGGCAGGCUUGAGAGCCCUGGAGGACACUGCAGUAGACCUACUCAGACUGCUGGGCACCUAUA